rnacentral:rRNA from 1 species
CAACCCGGGAGUUAGGUUGUUCAACGCGAAAACUAGUUUGGUAGAGCGACGGACGAAUACCCUUGUGGGUAGAGCACUGUUUGGGCUAGGGGUUCAUCCCGACUUACCAACCCCAUGCAAACUCCGAAUACCAAUGAGUACUAUCCGGGAGACACACGGUGGGUGCUAACGUCCAUCGUGGAGAGGGAAACAACCCAGACCGCCAGCUAAGGUCCCAAAGUGUAUGUUAAGUGGGAAACGAUGUGGGAAGGCUAAAACAGCUAGGAGGUUGGCUUAGAAGCAGCCACCCUUUAAAGAAAGCGUAAUAGCUCACUAGUCGAGUCGGCCGGCGCGGAAGAUGAAACGGGGCUAAACAUACCACCGA